rnacentral:rRNA from 1 species
UACGUAGGGAGCAAGCGUUGUCCGGAAUCAUUGGGCGUAAAGCGCGCGUAGGCGGCCCUGUAAGUCCGUUGUGAAAGUCAAAGGCUCAACCUUUGAAAGCCGAUGGAUACUGCAGGGCUAGAGUCCGGAAGAGGCGAGUGGAAUUCCUGGUGUAGCGGUGAAAUGCGCAGGAUAUCAGGAGGAACACCGAUGGCGAAGGCAGGGUCUCUGGGCAUUAACUGACGCUGAGGAGCGAAAGCUGGGGAGCGAACAGGG